AAACAAUAUCCAUUCAUUAAAGAAUUGUAUGUGAUUAUAUUAGGAUGCGCACCUCUUUGAAUCAUGCUUUCAACUACUUCCUCUGCCUCUUUUACCUUCCCUUGCUUGCUAAGUGCAUCAACCAAGACAGUGAGUGUACGGACAUCUAGAGAGAUACCAAUAUCCAACAUUUCUCCUAACAUUCCAUUAGCCUCCUUCCACCGGCCACAACUACAUAAGCCAUGAAUCAAUGAGUUAUAAGUACCAACAUCUGGGUGAACCCCUUUCUCUUUCAUUUCGUAAAAAAGGUUCAAAGCAUCAUCCAACAUCAUAUCCUUGCAAUGACUGUCAAUGAUC